rnacentral:Y_RNA from 1 species
GGCUGCUCUGAGUGCAGCAAUGUUUACAAUUAAUUCAUCAUAACCACUUACUAAUUUCUUUGUUCCUUCUCCAUUCUCACUGCUUCACUUGACUAGUCAUAA